rnacentral:rRNA from 1 species
CUAAGAAUAUUCCGCAAUGGACGAAAGUCUGACGGAGCGACGCCGCGUGGAUGACGAAGGCCGAAAGGUUGUAAAGUCCUUUUGCUGGGGAAGAAUAACCAUGGGAGGGAAUGCCCGUGGGAUGACAUGAACCGGCGAAUAAGCCCCGGCUAACUACGUGCCAGCAGCCGCGGUAACACGUAGGGGGCGAGCGUUGUUCGGAAUUACUGGGCGUAAAGGGCAUGUAGGCGGCUCUGUAAGCCUGGCGUGAAAGUCACCGGCUCAACCGGUGGAUUGCGCUGGGAACUGCGGGGCUUGAAUCAUGGAGAGGGAGCUAGAAUUCCAGGUGUAGGGGUGAAAUCUGUAGAGAUCUGGAAGAAUACCAGUGGCGAAGGCGAGCUCCUGGCCAAUGAUUGACGCUGAGGUGCGAAAGUGUGGGGAUCAAACA